UACGUAGGGUGCAAGCGUUGUCCGGAAUUAUUGGGCGUAAAGAGCUCGUAGGCGGUUUGUCGCGUCGACUGUGAAAUCCCUCGGCUUAACCGGGGAACUGCGUCUGAUACUGGAUGGCUAGAGGUUGGGAGAGGGAUGCGGAAUUCCAGGUGUAGCGGUGAAAUGCGUAGAUAUCUGGAGGAACACCGGUGGCGAAGGCGGCAUCCUGGACCAAUAUUGACGCUGAGGAGCGAAAGCCAGGGGAGCAAAGCGGG
rnacentral:rRNA from 1 species